GGCUCGAACUCACAACCUCCAAGAGUCACGUGCUCUACUGACUGAGCCAGCAAGAAUGAAAGACAGAGAGAAAAUGAUCCUUGCCAGAUGAAUGAGGAUUAACCAAUGACCUCUGAAGAAAAUAUUUCUCUUUCAAAUUUCAUUUUCAACAUCCGAAGCAGAACUGAACCAAGACAAUAAAGCAAGUUUGACAUGUA